GCCCAGAUGGCGGAAUUGGUAGACGCGCUAGCUUCAGGUGCUAGUGGCCUAACGGUCGUGGGAGUUCAAGUCUCCCUCUGGGCACCA
rnacentral:tRNA from 1 species